rnacentral:rRNA from 1 species
UAGGAAUCUGCCUUGAAGCAGGGGACAACCCGAGGAAACUCGGGCUAAUACCGCAUAAUAUCGAGAGAUUAAAGUCAGGGUCAAACCUGACACUUCAAGAGGAGCCUGCGUCAGAUUAGCUAGUUGGUUAGGUAAAGGCUGACCAAGGCGAUGAUCUGUAACUGGUCUGAGAGGAUGAUCAGUCACACGUGGGACUGAGACACCGGCCCAGACCUCCGUACGGGAG